AAAGGCCACGGAGGCAAGAGGCAAAUUCAGGGGUGUUUGGCAGGUCUCUGCAGCAGGUUUUGUGUCACGGGUUUCGACAAGGCAUCUCACCUCACUUGUCAGGGUGGCUUGUCUGGAAGGCCUUGCGGGUAGUACAGAGGGACUGGGAUGCUAAAGGUCUGGGUUCUCCUGCCAGUUUGACCACUGGGUAAUCAUAAGUAAAUCCCUUCCCCUGCCUGUAACACGGGGCAGAUGAUCCUGCCCUCCUUUGCAAAGCGCUUUGAAAUGUACUGCUGCACCAUGCUCCAUUCGAGCCAGGGGAUGCUGGUCGUCACUGCACUCCAGAUCCAGCUGUUUCAGCAGCACUUGGGCACCCUUCAGGCCUCCUGCUCCAGUGCCCGGGCUCGCCCUGAAAGCAGGCAGGAGCUAAAGCAUCUUUCAUCCAUCUCGCUUUUCCUUCACCCUCCUGCAAAGUGACAUUUUUCUCCUCCGCUGGGAGGUUCACGGUGGAAUGUCAUUUGCCGUGUGCCGCGUGCUCUGUGUCCGAGAGGAUCCUGAAUGCUUAACGCCACUGACAGGUAUCAAAUGCCAUCAGGUACUCAACCCUCUGACCUGCAUGAACAUCCAUGUAGAACAAACCUGAGGAGAAACCUCCUACUUUUAUUUUUCACUCAUUAAGCAUCAUAUCCCACCAUGGCACCUCUACCUUGGAGCUGAGAGCCUGGAAAAUCAAACACAUGCAAGCUUUGGUACACACACAUAUACACAGAGAGAGAGACUACCAAGGUAAUGGGCUAUAUCAGUCACAAAAUGGCAUUAAACUGCAGCAAGCAGCCACAACCUUUCCAAAAAUCACAGCCAAGGUUCAAAGCCGAUCUUCAGAAAUCCAGCUGUUAGGAUGCUGACUUAUCCACUGGCUCUUCCCCUUCCGACACGGAUUUGGGGAAAGUUGGGACUGUAUGAUGGGAACCGAUUGGGGUGGGGGGCAGAGUUUGACAAUGGCAUUCACUUCACCAUUUUGGUGACAUAAUUUUUUGGGGCAGGGAGGGGUUAUUUGGGUUUUGGUUUUAUUUUAUUUUAUUUGUCUGGGUCGUUAUUCUUUUAUUUCCCCACCAACCGUAGGAUCCAGUCAACUCCUCCUAAUUUUCCCAAGACAACAAGAAGAAUGACAAUCUUAAGAAAACAACACCCUCCUUUCAUGCUUCUAUAAAUACGUUUCUGAUC